CCCGCCUCCGUCUCCACCUCCGCCCUCCCCAGCCCCCGGGCUCCCUGGCCAGUUGUUCCUUCCUGUGACUCCACUGAGUGGCGCCCAGACGGAGCCAGUGACCUUCAGCCGGCAGCAGGGGGAUAAGAAGUAGACAGAAAGCAGCCUGUUUGGAGAGAUGUACAAUGGUCUCUUUCUUGAGCGGCCUUUAGCUCUUCCCUGAUUUCCUCAGCUGUUGACUUAUUUUUGCUGGAUGCUACCAAGAAGGGAAUGGGCCCCUUGCAGAUACACGUGGUGUUUUCGUCCCAGAGCCUUUGAGAGGUGGAAUUGACUUCAUCCCUCACUCCAGAGGUGGGCUUGUGACUCAUCAAAACAUUGCAUUGGUUCCAGGAUAAUUCACGCAGAGCCAGUGAAAUGUAAUGCCACUUCUGCCGGGACUUUUAGAAAGACUGGAGUUCUAGCCACCCCCUGGCCCCCACUGGGGGAGAACCCAGCUGAAGACUGGGCCAAUGUGGAGGGAAGUGGAAUAAAAGUUGAGUGAAAUCGUGACUCAGGGGCAGAGUUUGCACCCCAGGAUCUAGCCGUA